rnacentral:lncRNA from 1 species
GCGGAGCAUGACUGCAAUUAAAUAAGCCUCAAUUAACCCAAUAGCAGCCACUGGAUAACAGCAAGUCUGAGGGACACAAAACCUCUCACACAUUAGCGCCUCUUUCCCACAGCACACACAGAGGCCAGGAGCUGGACUCCCUCAGAUCUGCAGUGUAUAACCCAGUGAAGGACUUCUGGACAGAUGAGUGAGCAAAGUACAGAACAUCCUGUCUCUAACCUUCAAGAGCCUCACUCAACCGAGCCAUCUGCCAGACGCGACCAUUGUUGCGCUCACUUCCCGCUGGCGCACUGCUGCCCUGACUGACAGCCCAACAAGCCGCCUCUGUAGGUCUGCCACAUGGUGGGCUGAUGCCCCGAGCCUGAAAUGAAAUGUGUG